rnacentral:lncRNA from 1 species
UUGGACAGAUUUUGGUGAAAUAUCUGUCAUUUGGAAAGAUUUUCAGAAUGAAAUCAUGUCCCUACUCUCCUAUAAAGGGAGGGUCUUUCUUUCACUUUUAAAGGAGUAAAACGCACAUCUACACACACAAAGGAGACAUCAGAAAAAAGAGAGUUGACGAUAAAAAUUUCAGCAGCCUUUCACCUUUGAAUAUUUUCCAGAAAAGAGCAAAGACCUUCUAAAAAAUAUAAAAAGUUUGAAGUUAGUUUGUUGUUCCGUUCUUAUUUAAAAUUUGUUGAGUAUCGAGGUUUAUUCUGGGUUGUUCCACUGUUCUUUUCACUGUUAUUGCUGCUGGGUUGAGUUUGCUUUUCUGGAAUCGUUGGUCUGCUGUUGGAUUCAACAUUUUUCACUGCUGAAAUUUCAACUUCUUGCUAACGUUUUGAACUCAUCAUGUAGUCUAAAUGUUCAUGGAUGAAAUAAAACUCCUGAACAUUUUAUUGGUUAUGUCAGCUUGUCUUAAGAUUAUUUGGUUACUCUAACAGGAAUAUAUGAAGGUCUAAAGCUCAUAUCUGAUGGUUUUGGUUAUAUUAAGUUAGUUUCGUGUGAUUGUGAUAAUUAGUUCAUUCAAGUUUACUUAUUUAUUUUCUAUAUUUCCUUUGUGAUUGGGUAAGAGUAAUUUCUCUUUUGUGAUGCAUGUGUUUAUUUGGGAUUUAAAUUGGAUUUUGGUUUCACACGAGUCAAGGAACAUCUAUUAUAGCUAAUUAUUAACCUUCACAGCAGUUUGUUUGGUCUUAGAAUUAUUUGAGAGAGUUUCUUUUUAGAUACUUUGAUUUUCAGAAAGACAAAAGAUUCAAUUUCAAGAACUUUGAAAUCAUAUUUGUGAUGGAGAUGAUGGUAUAUCCUCGUUGGAGUUCUCUGCUUUAGAAGUUCUGUUUAGCUUCAUUAAUUGAGUUCGUGACUGCUUGUUGCUAUGGGUUCGUGGUUCUUGGCUUAACUUUUACUGUUGUUCUUCAUGUAAUUUUUAGAAUUAAAUAUAGUAUAAUGGUUCUAUAUUCUUCAAGUGUAACUCUUUAAGAAUGAAGUAACUCAUAUAUAUAUAUAGUCAAACUCUUAAAGGAUUUUCUUGUUGGGGCUAUCUUGGGUUCAACAGCAUGUAUAUUACAAAGUGAUGUUUUGAAUGUCUUUAACUUAUGCUUUUAAUGUUUUGAUGAUCUAUCAAACUUGUUGUGAAGAACCAGAUAAAGAACCUGACCCACAUUUCAACUGUUAUGACGACCCCGUCGGUCGUCUUAAGAAUUAACGCCCUGAUCCCCUAUUA